UCUUCCAGAAAAAAUAAAAACAAAAGCAACAACAACACCAACAAAAAAACUAGCCCGGCUCUUCUCUGGCUUGCCCUCCCUCCCGCCGCUCCCAGCCCCAAAAGGUGGCUGUCCCGGGAGGCCAGCCAAACGCCCCGCCUCGUCCAAGUCACGAGGAGCAGGGGCUGGAGGGGCAGGGAGGCGAAAUCCUGGUCAGCAAAGGUCCAGAGGGCAGGUCACAGCUUUGAAAGAAUCUAGAGGCUUGGAAAUGCAGUUCUAAUACUCAGGGUUCCCAGAAGGUGGGGAAUGGCCCAAGCAAACACACACACACACACACACACACACACACACACACACACACACACACACUCAGCCCAGCACAAGAUUUCCCUUUCAUUCUUCCCAGCCAGCCUCUCCCAAUGGCUUACCACAGUCAAAGCUCUCCCUCAUGACUGCAACUGUGUUUUUAUCUGAGCACAGAGCCAAUACUCAUUAUUGAAACCCACUUUCUGCAGUAGACCAACUUCCUUCAGCCGUCUUCUGUUUGCUCGACAGAUACAGAGCACCCAGUAACGAGCGUCUUGCAAAAUGCUGGAAGUGCAGGAUGAAGAAGGCAGAAACAACCCUGCCCUCCAGGAGCUUUCCAGAAGGAAAGAUAAGCAAAAAAGAGAGACAGAGUGCGAGUGGGGAGGGACAGAAAGAGAAGGAGACACAGAAUCCGAAGCGGGCUCCACGCUCUGAGAUGUCAGCAUCGAGCCCAACGUGGGGCUUGAACUCAAGAACCGUGAGAUCAUGAACUGAGCCAAAGUCGGAAGCUUAACUGACCGAGCCACCCAGGCGCCCCUGUCAUUUGUAUUUUUAACUUGGUUUAUGGCAUCUUUUGUCUUACAGCUUGUUGUUUUAUGAUUCCAUUGAUGUGAAAUUCUAGAACGUGCGAAGUUAAUCAAUAUUGAAAAAUGUCAGAAGCUGGUUGUCUUGGGGGGCACGGGGAAAACUUCUGGAAAGGGAUACAAAGGAACUUCUAGGAUAAUGGAAAUCUUCUGUAUCUUGUUUCAGCUGGAUUCAAGGGUCAACACUGGCCCUUAAUCAAGCAUGUAAGGUUCUGUGCAUUUUAUUGUAAUUAAUCAAAAAAAUUAAAUCACUCAUUUUUGCAAAG